rnacentral:rRNA from 1 species
GACGAACGCUGGCGGCGUGCUUAACACAUGCAAGUCGAACGGAAAGGCCCUGCUUUUGUGGGGUGCUCGAGUGGCGAACGGGUGAGUAACACGUGAGUAACCUGCCCUUGACUUUGGGAUAACUUCAGGAAACUGGGGCUAAUACCGGAUAGGAGCUCCUGCUGCAUGGUGGGGGUUGGAAAGUUUCGGCGGUUGGGGAUGGACUCGCGGCUUAUCAGCUUGUUGGUGGGGUAGUGGCUUACCAAGGCUUUGACGGGUAGCCGGCCUGAGAGGGUGACCGGCCACAAUGGGACUGGGAUACGGCCCAGGCUUCUACGGGAGGCAGCAGUGGGGAAUAUUGCACAAUGGGCGGAAGCCUGAUGCAGCAACGCCGCGUGCGGGAUGACGGCCUUCGGGUUGUAAACCGCUUUCGCCUGUGACGAAGCGUGAGUGACGGUAAUGGGUAAAGAAGCACCGGCUAACUACGUG